rnacentral:rRNA from 1 species
GAUGAACGCUGGCGGCGUGCCUAAUACAUGCAAGUCGAGCGAACGGACGAGAAGCUUGCUUCUCUGAUGUUAGCGGCGGACGGGUGAGUAACACGUGGAUAACCUACCUAUAAGACUGGGAUAACUUCGGGAAACCGGAGCUAAUACCGGAUAAUAUUUUGAACCGCAUGGUUCAAAAGUGAAAGACGGUCUUGCUGUCACUUAUAGAUGGAUCCGCGCUGCAUUAGCUAGUUGGUAAGGUAACGGCUUACCAAGGCAACGAUGCAUAGCCGACCUGAGAGGGUGAUCGGCCACACUGGAACUGAGACACGGUCCAGACUCCUACGGGAGGCAGCAGUAGGCAAUCUUCCGCAAUGGGCGCAAGCCUGACCGAGCAACGCCGCGUGAGUGAUGAAGGUCUUCGGAUCGUAAAACUCUGUUAUUAGGGAAGAACAUAUGUGUAAGUAACUGUGCACAUCUUGACGGUACCUAAUCAGAAAGCCACGGCUAACUACGUG